GAUGAAGAACGUAGCGAAAUGCGAUAAGUAAUGUGAAUUGCAGAAUUCAGUGAAUCAUCGAAUCUUUGAACGCACAUUGCGCCCGCCAGUAUUCUGGCGAGCAUGCCUGUUCGAGCGUCAUUUCAACCAUCAAGCCCCAGGCUUGCGUUGGAGCCCUGCGGCUGCCGCAGCCUCCCAAAACCAGUGGCGGGCUCGCUAUCACACCGAGUGCAGUAGUUUACUCUUCGCUCAGGGCGUGUGGCGGGUGCUAGCCGUGAAACCCCCAACUUCUCAAGGUUGACCUCGGAUCAGGUAGGAAUACCCGCUGAACUUAAGCAUAUCAAUAAGCGGAGGA
rnacentral:misc_RNA from 1 species